CUUUAAACACAGCCCUGCCAGAAAACAGAGCCCAGAGCUAUUUGGAGAAGGUAUACAGAGCUAACCUUCACCAAAUCAGCUUCUAGACACAGCCCUGCCAGAAUACAGAGCCCAGAGCUAUUUGGAGAAGGUAUACAGAGCUAACCUUCACCAAAUCAGCUUCUAGACACAGCCCUGCCAGAAUACAGAGCCCAGAGCUAUUUGGAGAAGGUAUACAGAGCUAACCUUCACCAAAUCAGUCUUUAAACACAGCCCUGCCAGAAUACAGAGCCCAGAGCUAUUUGGAGAAGGUAUACAGAGCUAACCUUCACCAAAUCAGCUUCUAGACACAGCCCUGCCAGAAUACAGAGCCCAGAGCUAUUUGGAGAAGGUAUACAGAGCUAACCUUCACCAAAUCAGCUUCUAGACACAGCCCUGCCAGAAUACAGAGCCCAGAGCUAUUUGGAGAAGGUAUACAGAGCUAACCUUCACCAAAUCAGCUUCUAGACACAGCCCUGCCAGAAUACAGAGCCCAGAGCUAUUUGGAGAAGGUAUACAGAGCUAACCUUCACCAAAUCACUCUUUAAACACAGCCCUGCCAGAAUACAGAGCCCAGAGCUAUUUGGAGAAGGUAUACAGAGCUAACCUUCACCAAAUCACUCUUUAAACACAGCCCUGCCAGAAUACAGAGCCCAGAGCUAUUUGGAGAAGGUAUACAGAGCUAACCCCCAACCAAACCACCCUUUAAACACAGCCCUGCCAGCUCACUCAUACAACAUCAAGCAGACAACAUCGACAUGCCAAAUUGAAGUAGUAACAGGCGCGGGUAACAUCCAGGAGUGUCUCGCU